UACGGAGGAUCCAAGCGUUAUCCGGAUUUAUUGGGUUUAAAGGGUGCGUAGGCGGUUUUAUAAGUUAGAGGUGAAAUCUCGGGGCUUAACCCCGGGGCUGCUUCUGAUACUGCUGUGCUCGAGUGCAGGAGAGGUAAGUGGAAUUCCUAGUGUAGCGGUGAAAUGCGUAGAUAUUAGGAGGAACACCAGUGGCGAAGGCGGUCUGCUGGACAGCAACUGACGCUGAGGCGCGAAAGCGUGGGGAGCAAAAAGG
rnacentral:rRNA from 1 species